AGGUUUGAGCUUGCUCUUAUGACGUUAGCGGCGGACGGGUUAAAAGGUGGGUAACCUGCCCAUAAGACUGGGAUAACUCCGGGUAACCGGGGCUAAUACCGGAUAACAUUUUGAACCGCAUGGUUCGAAAUUGAAAGGCGGCUUCAGCUGUCACUUAUGGAUGGACCCGCGUCCCAUUAGCUAGUUGGUGAGGUAACGGCUCACCAAGGCAACGAUGCGUAGCCGACCUGAGAGGGUGAUCGGCCACACUGGGACUGAGACUGGGCCCUCACUCCUACGGGGGGCAGCUUUAGGGAAUCUUCCGCAAUGGACGAAAGUCUGACGGAGCAACGCCCGUGAGUGAUGAAGGCUUUCAGGUCGUAAAACUCUGUUGUUAGGGAAAAACAAGUGCUAGUUGAAUAAGCUGGCACCUUGACGGCACCUAACCAGAAAGCCACGGCUAACUACGUGCCAGCAGCCGCGGUAAUACGUAGGUGGCAACCGUUAUCCGGAAUUAUUGGGCGUAAAGCGCGCGCAGGUGGUUUCUUAAGUCCGAUGUGAAAGCCCCCGGCUCAACCGGGAGGGUCAUUGGAAACUGGGAGACUUGAGUCCAGAAGAGGAAAGUGGAAUUCCAUGUGUAGCGGUGAAUUGACAGAUAUGGAGGAACACUAGUGGAAAAGCGCUUUCUGUCAUCACCAGGA
rnacentral:rRNA from 1 species